rnacentral:rRNA from 1 species
UACGUAGGGUGCGAGCGUUAAUCGGAAUUACUGGGCGUAAAGCGUGCGCAGGCGGUUUGCUAAGACCGAUGUGAAAUCCCCGGGCUUAACCUGGGAACUGCAUUGGUGACUGGCAGGCUAGAGUAUGGCAGAGGGGGGGUAGAAUUCCACGUGUAGCAGUGAAAUGCGUAGAGAUGUGGAGGAAUACCGAUGGCGAAGGCAGCCCCCUGGGCCCAAUACUGACGCUCAUGCACGAAAGCGUGGGGAGCAAACGAGGAU